rnacentral:rRNA from 1 species
ACCCCGGGAGGGGAGUGAAAGAGAACCUGAAACCCUGUGUUUACAAGCUGUGGAAGUUCUUUAAAUGAACAACCGCGUACUUUUUGUAGAACGGUCCGGCGAGUUGCGGAUACUGGCAAGGUUAAGCACUUAAGGUGCGGAGCCGAAGGGAUACCAAGUCUUAACAGGGCGUUAAGUCAGUAUACGCAGACCCGAAACCGGGUGAUCUAUCCAUGUCCAGGUUGAAGUUGUCGUAAAAGACAAUGGAGGACCGAAGCCACAUCCGUUGAAAAGGGUGGGCAUGAGGUGUGGAUAGGGGAGAAAUUCCAAUCGAACCCGGAGAUAGCUGGUUCUCCUCGAAAUAGCUUUAGGGCUAGCCUCGAUUUAGUCUUAUGGAGGUAGAGCACUGAAUUUCCGCGGGGGCGUCAAAGCUUACCAAAGAAUAUCAAACUCCGAAUGCCAUGUAGAUGAUGAAUGGGAGUCAGACUGCACGAGAUAAGUUGGGCAGUCAAAAGGGAAAGAGCCCAGACCACCGGCUAAGGUCCCAAAGUGCGUGUUAAGUGGAAAAGGAUGUGGGAAUUCGAAGACAACUAGGAUGUUGGCUCAGAAGCAGCCAUACAUUCAAAGAGUGCGUAAUAGCUCACUAGUCGAGAGGUCCUGCGCCGAAAAUGUCCGGGGCUAAAACACAACACCGAAGCUGUGGAAUCACGUAAGUGAUUGGUAGAGGAGCAUUCUUAAGACCGACGAAGCUGUACCGGAAGGAGCAGUGGAGGGAUAAGAAGAGAGAAUGCCGGAAUGAGUAGCGAGAGAGAGGUGAGAAUCCUCUCGGCCGAAUAUCCAAGGUUUCCAGAGUAAAGCUGAUCUGCUCUGGGUAAGUCGGGGCCUAAGGCGAGGACGAGAGUCGUAGCCGAUGGACAACAGGUGGAGAUUCCUGUACUGCGGUAUGACAGAACUGUGGGGACACGUAAGGAAAGCGGAAGCCGGGAAUGGAAAGCCCGGUGCAAGCGGGGUACCAGUCACUUUGGCAAAUCCGGGUGGCAAUGGGAAGCCGUGAUGCGGAGCGAAAUAAAGUAGCGAAGUCCGUGAGCCAUGCGUCAAGAAAAGCCGCUAUUGUUUAUACCGUACCCGUACCGUAAACCGACACAGGUGGAUGAGGAGAGAAUCCUAAGGCCGGCGGAAGAAGCAUUGUCAAGGAACUCGGCAAAAUGACCCCGUAACUUCGGGAGAAGGGGUGCCUGCGAGAGCAGGCCGCAGAGAAUAGGCUCAAGCAACUGUUUAGCAAAAACACAGGUCUAUGCGAAACCGAAAGGUGAGGUAUAUGGGCUGACGCCUGCCCGGUGCUGGAAGGUUAAGAGGAGAGGUUAGCGCAAGCGAAGCUUUGAAUUUAAGCCCCAGUAAACGGCGGCCGUAACUAUAACGGUCCUAAGGUAGCGAAAUUCCUUGUCGGGUAAGUUCCGACCCGCACGAAAGGCGUAAUGAUUUGAGCGCUGUCUCGACAAUGCAUCCGGUGAAAUUGAAGUACCAGUGAAGAUGCUGGUUACCUGCGCCAGGACGGAAAGACCCCAUGGAGCUUUACUCCAGUCUGGUACUGGGACUCGGUAUUGCAUGUACAGGAUAGGUGGGAGGCUAGGAGAUGGUAACGCCAGUUGCCAUGGAGCCGCUGUUGGGAUACCACCCUUGCAGUAUUGGGUUUCUAACCAGCCGCCGUGACCCGGCGGUGGGACAAUGCCAGACGGGGAGUUUGACUGGGGCGGUCGCCUCCGAAAGGGUAUCGGAGGCGCCCAAAGGUUCCCUCAGAAUGGACGGAAACCAUUCGAAGAGUGCAAAGGCAGAAGGGAGCUUGACUGCGACACCGACGG